AACAGGAACACUUGUGACUGAAACAGGUCCUGAAUCUAGAAUGGGGUGGCCUGAGGACAAUGGGGACACAGAAACAGCGAGUGGUGUGUGCUGAUGUUUUUCUACCUCUAAGCUCUCUCAUUGGAGUCAGGCUCCUGAGUCCCCAACCCUCCUGUGCUGUGACAAUUUGGAAUUUGGGAAUGCACAGCCUUUGCAGAGGUGCUGCCUUACCUUGCUGACACCUGUAGCUGUGUCACAUGGCAAAGGACACACAGGAUCACUGCUCAGGCUCCAGCAUUGGGGAAAUCCUCUCAGGAGGCUCCUGGCAUCACACAGAGGCUGCAGCCUGAUGCUGGUAAAAGGAUGGAAUAUUGUUGUUUUCCAAUUCUGCUGUUUUUCUUUUAAACCUGGGGAAAUGCAUCCCUAAGUCUUUAUUUAAAAGAGGAAAUAUUAGGACUUCAAAAUCAAGCACGCAGUGGAAUUAGAAAAUUUCAGUGUUAGAAAAAGAAGCCAGGAAUCUUGUAAUUAAAGAUUCCUUCAGGGCAUAUG